rnacentral:rRNA from 1 species
AGAGUUUGAUCCUGGCUCAGAACGUACGCUGGCGGCACGCCUAAUACAUGCAAGUCGAACGAAGUAGCAAUACUUAGUGGCAGACGGGUGAGUAACAUGUGGGUAUCUUCCCUUUGGUGAGGAAUAACACGAGGAAACUUGUGCUAAUACCUCAUAAGUCUUUACAGAGAAAGCUUUAUGCGCCAUUGGAUGAGCCCGCACUUGAUUAGUUUGUUGGUGGGGUAAUGGCCUACCAAGACAAUGAUCAAUAGCUGAUUUGAGAGGAUGAUCAGCCACAUUGGGACUGAGACACGGCCCAAACUCCUACGGGAGGCAGCAGUAGGGAAUCUUGCACAAUGGAGGAAACUCUGAUGCAGCGAUGCCGCGUGAGUGAAGAAGGCCUUUGGGUUGUAAAGCUCUUUCGUCGGGGAAGAAAAUGACUGUACCCGAAUAAGAAGGUCCGGCUAACUUCGUGCCAGCAGCCGCGGUAAUACGAAGGGACCUAGCGUAGUUCGGAAUUACUGGGCUUAAAGAGUUCGUAGGUGGUUAAAAAAGUUGAUGGUGAAAUCCCAGAGCUUAACUCUGGAACUGCCAUCAAAACUUUUUAGCUAGAGUAUGAUAGAGGAAAGCAGAAUUUCUAGUGUAGAGGUGAAAUUCGUAGAUAUUAGAAAGAAUACCAAUUGCGAAGGCAGCUUUCUGGAUCAUUACUGACGCUGAGGAACGAAAGCAUGGGUAGCGAAGAGGAUUAGAUACCCUCGUAGUCCAUGCCGUAAACGAUGUGUGUUAGACGUUGGAAAUUUAUUUUCAGUGUCGCAGCGAAAGCAAUAAACACACCGCCUGGGGAGUACGACCGCAAGGUUAAAACUCAAAUGAAUUGACGGGGACCCGCACAAGUAGUGGAGCAUGUGGUUUAAUUCGAAGAUACGCGCAGAACCUUACCAACACUUGACAUGUUCGUCGCGACUCUAAGAGAUUAGAGUUUUCGGUUCGGCCGGACGAAACACAGGUGCUGCAUGGCUGUCGUCAGCUCGUGUCGUGAGAUGUUGGGUUAAGUCCCGCAACGAGCGCAACCCUUACUUUUAGUUGCCAUCAUUUAGUUGGGCACUCUGAAAGAACUGCCAGUGAUAAGCUGGAGGAAGGUGGGGAUGACGUCAAGUCCUCAUGGCCCUUACGUGUUGGGCUACACACGUGCUACAAUGGUAUCUACAACAGGAAGCAAAACAGCGAUGUUAAGCAAAUCCCGAAAAGAUACCUCAGUUCGGAUUGCACUCUGCAACUCGAGUGCAUGAAGCUGGAAUUACUAGUAAUCGUGGAUCAGCGUGCCACGGUGAAUACGUUCCCGGGUCUUGUACACACCGCCCGUCACACCAUGGGAGUUGGUUCUACCUUAAGGCAAAGCUUAAAACCUUUGACCACGGUAUAGUCAGCGACUGGGGUGAAGUCGUAACAAGGUAACC